GUGGACACGCGGCUCUGCCAGAAGGACUAUGUCGAGAUCCUGGGGAGGAAGUACUGUGGCGAACGCUCUCUCCUGGCCUUGGCGAGCCAAAAUCACACCCUGGAGAUCAAGUUCCAUUCCGACGAGUCGUACACGGACAAGGGCUUCUCCGCCACCUACAACGCCUACGACCCUGCCAACCCUUGUCCUGGGCAGUUUGCCUGCA